UGCAGUCGAGCGCCGUAGCAAUACGGAGCGGCAGACGGGAGAGUAACACGUGGGAACGUACCCUUCAGUACGGAACAACCAAGGGAAACUUUGGCUAAUACCGUAUACGUCCGUAAGGAGAAAGAUUUAUCGCUGAAGGAUCGGCCCGCGUCUGAUUAGCUUGUUGGUGAGGUAACAGCUCACCAAGGCGACGAUCAGUAGCUGGUCUGAGAGGAUGAUCAGCCUCACUGGGACUGAGACACGGCCCAGACUCCUACGGGAGGCAGCAGUGGGGAAUAUUGGACAAUGGGCGCAAGCCUGAUCCAGCCAUGCCGCGUGGGUGAUGAAGGCCCUAGGGUUGUAAAGCCCUUUCGGCGGGGAAGAUAAUGACGGUACCCGCAGAAGAAGCCCCGGCUAACUUCGUGCCAGCAGCCGCGGUAAUACGAAGGGGGCUAGCGUUGCUCGGAAUCACUGGGCGUAAAGCGCACGUAGGCGGACUCUUAAGUCGGGGGUGAAAUCCUGGAGCUCAACUCCAGAACUGCCUUCGAUACUGGGAGUCUUCGAGUUCGGGAGAGGUGAGUGGAACUGCGAGUGUAGAGGUGAAAUUCGUAGAUAUUCGCAAGAACACCAGUGGCGAAGGCGGCUCACUGGCCCGAUACUGACGCUGAGGUGCGAAAGCGUGGGGAGCAAACAAGGAUUAAGAUACCCUGGUAGUCCACGCCGUAAACGAUGGAUGCUAGCCGGUUGGGCGGGUUUACUCGUCAGUGGCGCAGCUAACGCAUUAAGCAUCCCGCCGGGGAAGUACGGUCGCAAGAUUAAAA
rnacentral:rRNA from 2 species